CCUACGGGGUGCAGCAGUGAGGAAUAUUGGUCAAUGGACGCAAGUCUGAACCAGCCAUGCCGCGUGCAGGAUGACGGCUCUAUGAGUUGUAAACUGCUUUUGUACGAGGGUAAACCCAGAUACGUGUAUCUGGUUGAAAGUAUCGUACGAAUAAGGAUCGGCUAACUCCGUGCCAGCAGCCGCGGUAAUACGGAGGAUCCGAGCGUUAUCCGGAUUUAUUGGGUUUAAAGGGUGCGUAGGCGGUUUGAUAAGUUAGAGGUGAAAUGUCGAGGCUCAACCCCGGAAGUGCCUCUGAUACUGUUGGGCUAGAGAAUAGUUGCGGUAGGCGGAAUGUAUGGUGUAGCGGUGAAAUGCUUAGAGAUCAUACAGAACACCGAUUGCGAAGGCAGCUUACCAAGCUAAAUCUGACGUUGAGGCACGAAAGCGUGGGGAGCAAACAGGAUUAGAUACCCUUGUAGUC
rnacentral:rRNA from 1 species